UAUGAUUCAUCCUCCUUUAAUACUUGCAGCUAUAUUUUAAAAAUAGAUUUUAUGAUAGUGGAGGCAAAACUAGACACACUUGGUAAGUAGACUUCCAGGGAAUGACCUCUAGAUAUUAUUAUCAUGAAUUAUAAAGCACCAACACAUUCUGUAGCUCACAUAAGUAAAUUCAAGACAAGACAUUAUUGACUAACUUGAAAAAGAACCAGACCAACUCAGCAAAUUGAAGUGGUGUGGGUGCACUUCAAUGAGCAAAAGUUUUAGAUAAACUGCAACGUAGUGGCUAUCUACCAGAUAGACACCAGAGGCGCUUCCGGG